rnacentral:lncRNA from 1 species
CCCUGGCCCCCGCACAACUCCGCUUCCCGCGCCCCUUCCCCGACAGCGCCCCCAUCCUUCUCCCCGAGGAGCCCGACCCUCUCCGCCCCCCCCCGCCCGCCCCGCCGCCUCGGGCUUCCUCCCCUCCGCGCUCUCCCCGCCGCCCGGCGGAGGGCGCCCCAAGAAUGCCGGCAGGACGCCCCGGUCCCCGCAGCGAAGCUCUCCCGCGUCGCGGUCCUGAGCCCCCUCGGUCCUCCAGGCUCGGGCUCCGCAGUCCCGCACGUCUGGAUCCUGACCUGCAGCCUCGGCCCCAGGGCUCGGGCUCUGGGACUCCCCAGCCCCGGAGCACUGACCCCGGGCCCCCGGCUCGGCUCCUGCUCGUCGCGAUUCUGGACGCCCUCGGGGUCGGGGUCGGGGUCGGGGUCGGGGCGCCCCAACCGCUGGAGGCUGACCUUCCCGCCCUCCUCCACCCCCCGCCCCGCCCCGCCCCGCCCCGCCCGCCGUUCUCGAGCCUGGGGCUCCCCAUCCGCACGGUCCCGACCUCUCGCCCGGCCGGCGCGGCUCCCCCGACUCACCGCAGCGGCGGCGGCUGAGCCCGCGAGCGAGCCCAGCCCAGCCCGGCCCGCCCGGCCCGCACUCCGGCUCGGGCUCCCCGCUCCCAGCUUCCCUCCCGCAGGCGGCGGCGACUGCGGCGGGCGCAGCUCAGGGGAGCGGCCCGGGGGCGGGGACCGCCCGGCUCCGCCCCUUCCCGGCCGGGGGCGGGGGCGGGGGCGGGGGCGGGGCGGGGCGGGGAGGGGGGAGCAGACCCGCGCGCCCCCCGCGGCCCCCGACGCCGCCUCGCCGCCGAGGACGUCGAGGACCCCUGUCCCUCCCCCGGGGUCAGGCCGCACAGUCCCCUUUCAGCGGGGACUCGAGAGGUACAGAGGACUCGAGGGACAGAGAGACGCGUUAACUGCUGUCCUGUCGGUUCGAAGAACCCACUCCAGGGGCCCAUUUCUGAUGGUUUUUUUUUUUUUUGCUUUUUUUUUUUUUGUUUUUUGGGGAGGUGUUUUUGGAGGACGGUGA